GGACUACAGGGGUAUCUAAUCCUGUUUGAUCCCCACGCUUUCGUGCCUCAGUGUCAAUAACCGUGUAGCGGGCUGCCUUCGCAAUUGGUGUUCUAUGUCAUAUCUAAGCAUUUCACCGCUACAUGACAUAUUCCGCCCACCUCCACGAUAUUCAAGACAGAUAGUAUCAACGGCAGUUUCCGGGUUAAGCCCGGAGAUUUCACCACUGACUUACCUGCCCACCUACGCACCCUUUAAACCCAGUGAAUCCGGAUAACGCUUGAGACCUCUGUAUUACCGCGGCUGCUGGCAC
rnacentral:rRNA from 1 species